rnacentral:rRNA from 1 species
GAUGAACGCUGGCGGCGUGCCUAAUACAUGCAAGUCGAGCGAACAGACGAGGAGCUUGCUCCUCUGACGUUAGCGGCGGACGGGUGGGUAACACGUGGAUAACCUACCUAUAAGACUGGGAUAACUUCGGGAAACCGGAGCUAAUACCGGAUAACAUGUUGAACCGCAUGGUUCAACAGUGAAAGACGGUCUUGCUGUCACUUAUAGAUGGAUCCGCGCCGCAUUAGCUAGUUGGUAAGGUAACGGCUUACCAAGGCAACGAUGCGUAGCCGACCUGAGAGGGUUAUCGGCCACACUGGAACUGAGACACGGUCCAGACUCCUACGGGAGGCAGCAGUAGGGAAUCUUCCGCAAUGGGCGAAAGCCUGACGGAGCAACGCCGCGUGAGUGAUGAAGGUCUUCGGAUCGUAAAACUCUGUUAUUAGGGAAGAACAAAUGUGUAAGUAACUAUGCACGUCUUGACGGUACCUAAUCAGAAAGCCACGGCUAACUACGUG